GAUGAACGCUAGCGGCAGGCUUAAUACAUGCAAGUCGAGGGGCAGCAGGGCUGUAGCAAUACAGUUGCUGGCGACCGGCAAACGGGUGCGGAACACGUACGCAACUUACCCAAAACUGAUGAAUAGCCCUCCGAAAGGAAGAUUAAUACAUCGUAAUUUAAUGGAGGGGCAUCUCUUUAUUAAAAUAGCUCCGGCGGUUUUGGAUGGGCGUGCGCCUGAUUAGGUAGUUGGUUGAGGUAACGGCUCACCAAGCCUUCGAUCAGUAACUGGUGUGAGGGCACGACCAGUCACACGGGCACUGAGACACGGGCCCGACUCCGACGGGAGGCAGCAGUAAGGAAUAUUGGUCAAUGGACGCAAGUCUGAACCAGCCAUGCCGCGUGAAGGAUGAAGGUCCUCUGGAUUGUAAACUUCUUUUAUAGGGGACGAAACCUGGAUAUUCUUAUCCAAUUGACGGUACCCUAGGAGUAAGCACCGGCUAACUCCGUGCCAGCCGCCGCUGUAACAC
rnacentral:rRNA from 1 species